rnacentral:rRNA from 1 species
GAUGAACGCUGGCGGCGUGCCUAAUACAUGCGAGUCGAGCGAACAGACGAGGAGCUUGCUCCUUCGACGUUAGCGGCGGACGGGUGAGUAACACGUAGGUAACCUACCUAUAAGACUGGGAUAACUUCGGGAAACCGGAGCUAAUACCGGAUAAUAUUUCGAACCGCAUGGUUCGAUAGUGAAAGAUGGCCUUGCUAUCACUUAUAGAUGGACCUGCGCCGUAUUAGCUAGUUGGUAAGGUAACGGCUUACCAAGGCAACGAUACGUAGCCGACCUGAGAGGGUGAUCGGCCACACUGGAACUGAGACACGGUCCAGACUCCUACGGGAGGCAGCAGUAGGGAAUCUUCCGCAAUGGGCGAAAGCCUGACGGAGCAACGCCGCGUGAGUGAUGAAGGUCUUCGGAUCGUAAAACUCUGUUAUUAGGGAAGAACAAACGUGUAAGUAACUGUGCACGUCUUGACGGUACCUAAUCAGAAAGCCACGGCUAACUACGUG